UGGUGAUAUACCAGUAUUGCUUUAUUUACUUAGUCAGGGAUGAAAAUCAGGUUGAAUGGGUUAUAAAAGAAGGCAUGGAUUUCCAUAAUGAGUCUCCUACCAGCCAUUUGAGAAAUACUUCAGAAAAACAAGUCCUUCACUUCUCCUCUACUAGUAUAUAGCCAACAUAAGCUGCUGAGCUUUGUUUAGACAGCAAGUCCAUCAUGAUGAUAUGAAGAUAAUUCUCAGCCUUCUUUGGAGUGCUUCUAUGGAUUGCCUCAAGUCAAACUGCUAUUUUUAAACUUGUGAAGAAAAUCAGGACAAAAGAAAAUGUUUUGAACAUCAAUAAAAGAGAUUCAGGAAGUUCAGCAUUACAAAAGAAAUGAAGCCAUCUGUUUUGCAGUAAGAAAAUCAGUAUUAUAGAAUCUUUAGAAAGAGUCCUCAAAGAUCCAUGGGAAAGAAUUUUACAACUACCUCUAUUUGACUGAAUAAUUUACUUAAAUCUUACUUUUUUUUUAAUACUAACCACAAAUAGAGCAGACCAAGCUUGAAAAUGUGAUAACUGUGUGAUAUGAAAAAAAUGUAAUUCAUUUAAUAUAAAAAGGAAUGAAGUCAAUUUAAGGUAGACUUAUUAAACCUGUACUCCAA